AUCACACUGAUUAACUCUUCCACUGCAGGCAUGUAAUAUCCUAUUCUGUUGCAAUUUGUCAAUUAAAGCAAUGUUCAUACCAGAUCAUUAACCAUUCCUGGAAUCAUCCAAUAAGAAUAAUUCUACCAGAUUUUACAUUAGCCGAAUUUUAAUUUUCCUACAUAAGAUUCACUAUCUUAUAUCAGAACAGGUCAUUAUUUCUGGAUAAAAUGUGCC